rnacentral:rRNA from 1 species
UACGUAGGGUGCGAGCGUUGUCCGGAAUUACUGGGCGUAAAGAGCUCGUAGGUGGUUUGUCGCGUUGUUCGUGAAAACUCACAGCUCAACUGUGGGCGUGCGGGCGAUACGGGCAGACUGGAGUACUGCAGGGGAGACUGGAAUUCCUGGUGUAGCGGUGGAAUGCGCAGAUAUCAGGAGGAACACCGAUGGCGAAGGCAGGUCUCUGGGCCAUAACUGACGCUGAGAAGCGAAAGCAUGGGGAGCGAACAGG